GGGGUUGUGGCUCAUUGGUACAGCACUCGCCUCACAUGUGUGGGUCCCUGGGUUCUAUCCUCAGCACCACA
rnacentral:tRNA from 1 species